GAAACCAGACCAAGCUGCAGUGAAUUGUUUGCAAAAUCCGGUCCAAGAGACACGUAUUGCUUGCAGAAUCCAGCCCAAGAUACAGCAAAUUAUUGUGUGUAAGAUCCGGUCCAAACUGCAGUGAAUUACAAUUUGCAAAAUCUGGCGCAAACUGCAGAGAAUUAUUGUUUGCAAAAUCUGGUCAAAACCGCAAGGAAUUCUUGUUUGCAAAAUCCAGUCCAAGAUGCAGCAAAGGACAGUUUGCAAAAUCUGGUCCAAACUCAAGGGAGGUUUUGGAUUCGCCCUGCGGUUGUUCUCUAAAAAUCGAGGGAACGUCUGAGAGACAGGAAACCGAUUCCGGGGAAAUAAGGCCAGGGGAGGCUUCUUCGCUUUGGCAAAAUCCGUUCCAAACCUCAGCAAAUUACAGUUUGCAAAAAAGCAGUUGGACGGCAAGAUGGUCCUUGUUGGAGAUGCAUCGAUGGUUCCUUGCAAGGAAGACGCCCAGUUUGGAUCAAAUGAUAGGAACAGAUGAAACGCCGUUUUCUUCAUCGUGGUCCCUGUGAAAUACGCACUCAUGGUAUUUCUUUGCUUCAUUGGCGACUGCGUUUCAAUCAAGAGAUAAAAUCCAAACUUAAUGGAGUUUGUUCUCGAUUUCAUGGACUUUUCAAUUAAUGGCGUUUGAACUUCAAUGAAGUCUCCGGCUUUGCUAAUUAAAAGACUGGUCAUAUACUUCCAUUGGGGUCGAAAUACUCAUUCGUUGGAUAAUAAACCCCCUGUUUUGAUCGCCCAUCUUGAGCCUUGUUGUUUACCUGAAACAACAACAACAACCAUCUGGAUUUGACAUAACGGUAAUAAUAAUAAUAAUAUCAUCUGGCUUUGACGUCAUGGUUUGGAUGGGUUUGAGAUGAGAUUGGAACCCAAGGGUGGGUGACUUUGUAGGAAUGUUGUUGUUUGUUUGUUGUGUUUGUUGUGGUGUUUGUUUCCCCUUGCGCAGAGUCACAUUGAUCUUGAUCCACUGCCAACAGCAUCCCACAGCCGGGCCGAUAAUCCCGGGCUCUCAAGUGACAAGGCACCCGGACCAUGGGCCACAUGCCGACACAUGGCAUUGAUCCAUGUGUUGAUCCCUGCUGCGUCUGCACUGCAAGUUUAACCCACUUUGGCUCCACUUCCGCAACCCAUGUUCUAUGGGGAAGGUGCCUUGAGCGCAUUAAAGCCGUACCUGCAUCUCAUAUACUUGUACAUGGAUGGAGAGGAGGAUGGGUGGAUGGACAAAUAGAAAGGUAGAAGGUGGAUAGGGAGAUGGAGAUGGAUGGGAGAGAAUGAAGGAUGGAUGGAUGGAUGGAUGGAUAGAAUCAUGGAUGGAUGAUGGAGGGAGGGAGAGGGAUUGGAUUGAAUCAUUGAUGAAUGAAAGAUAGAUGGCUAGAUGGAUAGAAAGGUGAGUGGAUGGACAGAUGGGUGGAUUUCAUCAUGGAUGGUUGGAUGGAUGAUAGAUGCCUACAUAGAUGGUUGGUUGGAUGGAUUGAAUCAUGGAUAGAUAGAUGGAUGGAUAGAUAGGUAGAUAGAAUAAUGGAUGGGUGGAUGGAUAGAUAGAUAGAUAGA